rnacentral:lncRNA from 1 species
CAAUAAACCCAUUGUGAGUUGAAAAUGCUGUAAGUCAAAAAUGUAGUAAGUUGAACUGUAGUAAGUUGGGACCAUCUGUAUCUCAAUUUACCCUUAGAAUAGUCCUACAGAGAAGAGAUUGGACCCAUGAUAUAGAUAAGGCUUGGAAAUGAAUGAUUUGCCUGACGAGAGAGCCAGGCUGAGGGAGCGGGGCGUUGGAUGCCCUCCUGCCUCCAACACGCAGCCCUCUUACUUCACGCAAGGUCGAGCAGCCACGGGAGUAGGGGGUUGAGGCACAACUUGCAUUGUCACACCCAUAUGUCCUGCAGAAGCCAUCGAAUGGUCUGUGACGGGGGAGUGGAGCUUCUUCCACAUGCCCAGGGCUUACAUCUUGCAAAAGCUGGUGUGAUGUUCAGGUCCUACAUGAAUGGUUGCACCUGAUGCCUCUUCAGAAUAUAUAAUGGGGGGACCAGGCACAGUGGCUCACGCCUGUAAUCCCAGCACUUUGGAAGGCCGAGGCAGGUGGAUCACUUGAGGCCAGGAGUUCGAGACCAGCCUGGCCAACAUGGUGAAACCACGUCUCUACUAAAAAUAAAAAAAUUGGCUCAGUGCAGUGGCUCUGCACGGCACUGCAGCCUGGGCUAGAGAGCAAGAUUUCGUC